rnacentral:rRNA from 1 species
AUUGAACGCUGGCGGCAGGCUUAACACAUGCAAGUCGGACGGUAACAGGAGGAAAGCUUGCUUUCUUUGCUGACGAGUGGCGGACGGGUGAGUAAUGCUUGGGAAUCUGUUUUAUGGAGGGGGAUAACUACGGGAAACUGUAGCUAAUACCGCGUAAUAUCGAGAGAUUAAAGUGUGGGACCGUAAGGCCACACGCCAUAGAGUGAGCCCAAGUGGGAUUAGGUAGUUGGUGGGGUAAAGGCCUACCAAGCCGUCGAUCUCUAGCUGGUCUGAGAGGAUGACCAGCCACACUGGGACUGAGACACGGCCCAGACUCCUACGGGAGGCAGCAGUGGGGAAUAUUGCACAAUGGGCGCAAGCCUGAUGCAGCCAUGCCGCGUGAAUGAAGAAGGCCUUCGGGUUGUAAAGUUCUUUCGGUGGUGAGGAAGGUUGUAAUGUUAAUAGCAUUAUAAUUUGACGUUAGCCACAGAAGAAGCACCGGCUAACUCCGUGCCAGCAGCCGCGGUAAUACGGAGGGUGCGAGCGUUAAUCGGAAUAACUGGGCGUAAAGGGCACGCAGGCGGAUACUUAAGUGAGGUGUGAAAGCCCUGGGCUUAACCUAGGAAUUGCAUUUCAUACUGGGUAUCUAGAGUAUUUUAGGGAGGGGUAGAAUUCCACGUGUAGCGGUGAAAUGCGUAGAGAUGUGGAGGAAUACCGAAGGCGAAGGCAGCCCCUUGGGGGAAUACUGACGCUCAUGUGCGAAGGCGUGGGGAGCAAACAGG